AUAGGUUACCCAGAUCGGAUUCGUCAGAUCACCCAUGAGCAUCGGUGGCUCCGUCCCGGUAACUAAUGACUCUGCGUCCCUGGCAACAUGGCUACCAGGGGGAAAAAACGGUUGCGAUCCUUAAAGCGAACUUCUCUUGAACCGACUAUCCGGAGUUUAGACCCGGGUUUUCGCGGUGAUUGGUAAAGAAAAAGACGAGAACGGUACCCCUCAUGUCCAGGGUUUUAUCAACCUCAAGAAGAAGCAGUGGCUACCUAGCAUGAAACGGCUAAUGAUGGUGGUACAGAAUCUGAUUCCACCAUCAUGCACUUCCAACCGCUAGCUCUACACAAGGUGAAGUGCCCUGCUGAUAAAGAACCCAACGCUGGGGGCAUUUUGGGUACACAACCAUGAGGGAACAGACACACCUUGCAGUUAUGGAGCACAACAAGAUUGUGGGCCAGAAACCAGCAAGGGACAGUGAAAGUCAUAAAAUCAAGACUGCAACAGUAAUGAUACAACCACCUCAUUCUUCUCUCUGCAGAUUCUCAAAACACAAUACCAAAGACACGAUCUGUCAAAGUCAAUUGGCUGGGGGAGGUUUACAGACAGUACUUUGAGAUUAGGGUCUUGUUUACAUUUUACAUGAUUGAGCAUAUGCUCUUAUCCAGAGCAAUUUACAGUAGUAAGUACACACAUUCAUACUUUUCAUACUGGUCCACCAUGGGAAUCAAACCCGCAACACUGGCAUUGCAAGAGCCAUGCUCUACCAGUUGAGCUAUACAGGACAGCAAAUGUAUUGUAUUGUAUUGUAGACAGCAAAUGUAUUGUAUUGUAUUGUAUUAUAGACAGCAAAUGUAUUGUAUUGUAUUGCAUUGCAUUGCAUUGUAUUGUAUUGUAUUGUAUUGUAGACAGCAAAUGUAUUGUAUUUUAUUGUAUUGUAUUGUAGACAGUAAAUGUAUUGUAUUGUAUUGCAUUGCAUUGUAUUGUAGACAGCAAAUGUAUUGUAUUUUAUUGUAUUGUAUUGUAUUGUAGACAGUAAAUGUAUUGUAUUGUAUUGUAUGGUAUUGUAUUGUAUUGUAUUGUAUUGUAGACAGUAAAUGUAUUGUAUUGCAUUGUAUUGUAUUGUAUUGUAUUGUAGACAGUAAAUGUAUUGUAUUUUAUUGUAUUGUAUUGUAGACAGUAAAUGUAUUGUAUUGUAUUGUAGACAGUAAAUGUAUUGUAUUGUAUUGUAUUGUAUUGUAGACAGUAAAUGUAUUGUAUUGUAUUGUAGACAGUAAAUGUAUUGUAUUGUAUUGUAUUGUAUUGUAUUGUAGACACUAAAUGUAUUGUAUUGCAUUGUAUUGUAUUGUAGACACUAAAUGUAUUGUAUUGUAUUGUAGACAGCAAAUGUAUUGUAUUUUAUUGU